ensembl:lncRNA
AACUGUCACCCUCCUCUGGCCUCAACCCCCCAAAGGAUCAGAUGAAGGAGACUGGAGACAUAGCUCACUUGGUAGAGUGUGUCCUAUCAUGACCAAAGCUCUACGAUUCAUCCCUGCACCGGGAAGGCUUAGUGAUGCAUGACUGUAAUCCCAGGUCUGGAGAGGUGGAAAGGAGAAGGGGGGAAAGUGUGUAGGAGGGCUGAAUGUGUGGUGUGCGGGUCUGGACCUAUACAGAAUCCCAGCACCCAAUGGUAAAGGCAGGAGGCUAAAUAAUGAGUUCCAGGUCCGAUAUGACUACAAAGUGAUUUCCUGUUUCAAAUGCUAACCCCACCCCCCCAAAAAAAGACAAAAGAAAGAAAAAAUUAUAGCAGAGUGUGUGAGCCCAUGUGAGUUGGGUGUGUGUGGUGUGUGUGUGUGUGUGUGUGUGUGUGUGUGUGCAUUCAGGAUAAAUGGGAGAAAGGGAGGCAUCUUCUAGAAACAUAGAGUUGGGGUGGGAAGCUAAGCAGCUUUCUUCCUUUUUGGAAAUGCACAAGUGGGAAAUCUGAUUUGAUCCCUUGUGGCUUUUGGGCCAACCCCUGAGUGAAGUCAGAUGGCUUUUACAAAGGAAAAUUUUAUCCAUUUUCUGGGUUUUAUGGGGUUUCUACAAUGAGAGAGACCUCUCCUGUUGGUGCUUAGUGAGGAUUUCUCUGCGUGGCCUACAGUGACGCCGUGUAAUCUCCCAAAAAUUAUGGUGCUAAUAUUCGCCGGGUUAGGGUUAGUUAUUUUUAUGUCUCUGUCAUUUUGUUUCUCGGCAGCCCUUUUUGCCGCCUGGAAAGGAUGCGGCGGACACUUUAUUUCCACAGUCAUAUUUUUUAAUUUGAUCAAAGCAAAUUUCACUUGUUCUUCGUAUAAAUUAUUUAACUCAUUUCUUUUAGGUUAAAUGUCUCAAUAGAAAGAUAGAAAGUCCCUCAGUCACAUUUUCUUCUAGGAUUUUAAUCAGUGCCUCUAAAUUGUAUGAACUUCCUUCCCGGGCUCCAUCCUUCUCUGUCUGGGGAGUCUCUCUCCCCAGCUCCCUUCCAUCCUGGCUCUCCUCUCUCUCUGCCCCUACCUCAUGCCAAUGCAUCUCGAGUCUGUGGCUCAAGGUGACUCUGUAUAAGAGUAUGGCAGGUCAGCAUUCAGAGCCCCUUUAAAACCCUGACCCCCCUCCUCUGCAUGGCAUGGCCUGUAGCCUGGUGAGUUGCCCUGCAACCUUAGUGGCCAACCACAGUUGCUGCUUCAGUCUCUGACAGGACCUGGACCACAUACCCAUUUCCUUUUUCCUGGGGUUGUAUUCUCUCUCUCUCUCUCUCUCUCUCUCUCUCUCUCUCUCUCUCUCUUUCUGUGUGUGUGUGUGUGUGUGUGUGUGUGUGUGUGUGUGUGUGUGUGUGUGUGUGUGCAUGUCUGCAUGUUUGUAAAGACACAGGUUGGGGCCAUAAGUGUAGUUCCUUAGGUACUAUCCAACUCUCCCCCACACACCCUUAUUUUGAGUUGGGAUUUCUCAUUGGCCUAGAACUCACCAAGUAGGCUACGCUGAAUGAUCACAGAGCCCCAGGGAUCCACCUGCACUGUCUUUGUCAUCCCAAUGCCAGGAUUACAAGUGAACAUCCCUAUGCUAGGCUUUUCACAUGUGUGUUGGGGAUGGAUCUUGGGUCUGCGUGAUUUCUAGGCAAUUAUUUUUCGGCUAAGCAUCUCCCCAGUUCCUAAUCAUUAUUUUUAAAAAUGCAUUACUGGGGAUUGAACCCAGUGCUUCAUGUUUGCUAGGCAAGUGUGCUAUCACUGAGCUUUCUUUUCUUUAAAGGUUUAUUUAUUUAUUAUGUAUAUAGUGUUUUGUCUGCAUAUACCUCUACAGGCUAGAAGAGGGUACCAGAUCUCAUUACAGAUGGUUGUGAGCCAUCAAGUGGUUGAUGGGCAUUGAACUUAGGACCUCUGGAAGACAAGCUAAUGUUUUUAACCAUUGAGCCAUCUCUCCAGCCCCCCCUUAAAGUAUUUAUUUAGUAUACAGUGUUCUGCUUGCAUAUAUUCCUGCAGAUCAGAAGAGGGCACCAGAUUUCAUUACAGAUGGUCAUGAGCCACCAUGUGGUUGCUGUGAAUGGAACUCAGGACCUCUGAAAGAACAGCCAGUGCUCUUAACCUCUAAGCCAUCUCUCCAGCCCUGCUAUCACUGAGCUUUAUGGCUAUUUGUUAACAUAUGAGCCAUGAACUCUAGUUGUUUCCUAACCAGAAGACUUCAACUCUUGCCGGGCGGUGGUGGCACAUGCCUUUAAUCCCAGCACUGGGGAAGCAGAGGCAGAGGCAGAGGCAGGUGGAUCUUUGUGAGUUUGAGACCAGCAAGUUCCAGGACAGCCUCCAAAGCCACAGAGAAACCCUGUCUCGUAAAACCAAUAAAACAAAACAAAAAAUAAUGUUGCCCCCAUCACAGGACAGACCCCUGGGAGCUGUUCUUGAGGUCUCAGGUCCUGGUAUAGAUAAUCUUUCUUCUUCUGCUACCCCUAAUAAGAGUAUGGAGAUGGUGAGUAUGUAUGGCCUCUGAGAGAAUUAUGGUACUGAGGAGCUGUCCCCAAAGGAAGGUAAGAAGGGACAUGAUGCCUCCCACCUUGGCAGUCUACAUCCUCAGAUAUUGUUGGCCCAGAAGAAUCCAGCCUGGCAGCCUCACCACCCCCAGACCUUCUCCCUUUGUCACCUCCCAUUGCUUUAGCCAAGUGAGAGUCUCCUGUGGGAAUUCCCUUUGCUUUUACUUUAAAAAUACACAGUAAUUAACAAACAAAUGCUAUUAACCGUGACAAGCUGGAAAUUACAAUAAAAUCAGCAGAGUCCACAAGCAGCUUGGAGAGGCCAGUGGGCCUGGCUAAGGCAGAAAAGAGGCCCUCCCCCCACCAAGGCCUUCCAGGGGCUUUCAUCUCAGCCUCUGAGGCACUUGGCUAAGGCUGGGAGUCUUCAGCUCAGACCAGAGUGCUACACAGGUCAGAUCAGGCCUUAGGCCCAGCUGCUCUUACUUCCUGCCCGGAAAAGUCAGUCCCGGCCAUUCUUCCAGCCUUGGGGGUUGCCCUUUUAUGAAAACCUUAAAUAAUAGGGUCAUGGCCUACAGCUGACCAGGGCUUGUUGGUCAGGAUGUGACCUCUGCUCCUGGACAGGUCCAGAGAUUUCCCUUCAGGGUCACUCUGGGUUCUACAAAGCCUUGGAAAAUGAGGAUCAAAGAAAGCCCUCAGGACUACUAGGCCACAGUGGUCCCUUCUCCAGCCUGUGGAACAUCUAUGGGGCUGUCAUGCCUGCCUUCCCUCCAAUACAGCCAAAGAUCCUAGGAAGGAGUGGACUUGUUGUUGACCCUUGCCUGGAAGUCUAGUUCUAAUCUGACUGCAGUCUUUUAUGCUGCAGUCCUCUGCAAUUUCUCCUAGAGAGUUUCUGGUGGGCUUAGAGAGAGGUUACAAGCUUAUUUUAUUUUUCAGAUGAUGAAACUAAGGCUCAGAGUGACUUGUGUACAGUCACACAGCCAGGGUGGUGCAAGGCUGUGACUUGAAGCGCAGGUUAUGUUUUCUCAAUGGUUACUGCCUUUCUUGUAUCUCCUGAGCUCUGGGCUGAGCAGAUAAACCAGACCUUCUUUUCCUUCUAUGCCCACAAGGCACAUGCACAGCAGAAGGCAUCUCCCACUCUCUAGCAACUGUAAAUUGUGCUAUCAUAUAGAUUUUAUUUUGCUUUUUGUGCUUUUGAGACAGGACCUCAGGUACCCAAGACUAGCCUAGACCUGCCUAUGUAACCUAGGCUGAACUUUUUUUUUUUUUCAAGACAUUGGCACCUAUCCUGGCACACGCUCUGUAGACCAGGCUGGCCUCGAACUCACAGAGAUCCACCUGCCUCUGUCUCCCGAGCUCUUAGAUUAAAGGAAUGCACCACCAACGCCUGGCUGGCCCUGAACUUUUGAUCCUUCCGGGAUGAUAGAUAUGCACUUGUCUCUUCAAGUAGAUGCUAGCCCUGGGGAAACUGAGGCUUGGAGAAGUAUAGUGCCUUGCCCCACAUUGAAAGUGGCAAUGACAGAGACAGAACUUGGAUCCAUUCUGCCUGCAUGCAGUCACCCUGCCUGCAGGUCCUCGAUGAAAGGUCAGAGUCAGCUAGACUCGAAGUCUGCAGCAGUGAGUCCAGUGGGGGAGUGUGUAGUCACAGAAGCUCAUUAGGAGAGAAGCUGACAUAGCCGUCAAGAGCCCAGCCUUGGCCAGCCCCGCCAACUCCCAGCUAUGGUGUAAACAGCCUGACUAAUUCUCCAGACUCAAUCGCUGUCCCUGAUGGAUUUCCCGUCAUUACUCCUGAGUGACUGACAACCUGCUCAGACACUUGCCUUCUCAGCUGCCUUCGGAGAGGUUCAGAAACCAGGAUGCUUUGCUCCCUAAGUUGAUUUCAACUUGUCCUAAAGUCAUUUUAAUUGGUGACACGUCAGAGGCAAUUUGGGUAACUUUCUGAGAGCCCUUUACCGCUAGCCCUGGGCCGUGUGUGUGUGUGUGUGUGUGUGUGUGUGUGUGUGUGUGUGUGUGUGUGUGUGUGUGAUGCCACUUUGGCUGGGGCUGCACUUUACCUGGCCCUGAUUGGUCAGGAAACUGAGCGGCACACAUUGUUUAGGUGCUCCUUGCUGCAGUUUCUAGGCCGGUUCCUGAGGAUAACAAGAUUCAUUUUCUCAAUGGUUCUGACAGAUAGGAUUGUUAUUGUUAUUACACUCAUAUACCACCUUGCCUCCGAGGAGCUUAAGGCACUUUACAAAUUUGAAAAUUAUCUAAUAAUCUCCCAGCAACCCUGAGAGAGGAGAGAAGCAGCAGAGAGGCUUUUUUGGUGCAGCUAGAAGACCUGAUAGCCCCUGCUGGCCAGCACAUGACCACAGUGGGACCUGGACCCUUCGGGAUCCUGUUCCAGCUGCAGGAAAAUGAAGAGGAGGAAGAUGAUCUGGGGGUGUAAAGAAGAGGAAGGGGGAGAGGGGCCCUGGCUCCAAAGGACAAAAUCCAAUGGGAGGAGACGAGUUGUGCACAGUUUUCUUUAAAGACACACAAAAUGAGAAGAAACAUAAGGCUCCCAGGGGCUUUCUGUAAGAGAGCUGAAAUUCAAAAUGGAAAUAUAUGAGCUGGCGAUACAGCUCUGCAGCAGAGUACUUGCCUAGAAAACAGGGCUUUCUGGAUUCAAGCACCACGACCCAUCCUCAAAAUCAAAAUGGAUAUCUAUCAAAGCAGGGACCUGAUUAUAUGGGCAGAAAUAUCUAGAAGCCCCUAUCACAAAUCUCAAUGGAUGUUGUCAGAUGGGUAUGGCAAGACUCUGCAGGCCUCUGGUUUGUCACCUGCCAGCUGAAAAUGUGGCACUAGGUCUCUACCAGCCUGACACCCCACGAUUCUGUCUUCCUUUAAGCUCCCUUGUGCCAGAGGUGCCAUCAGUAAUUGCGGCACCUUUACUAAGCAUGAAGGGGAAGCUACCAUCAAAAUGAUGAUGGGAGGACAGCACGAUGUUGAGGCUUUCCUUUUCAGGGUUAAGGGUUUGGGAUUGUUCUAAGCAGUAUCUUUUGGGGAACAGGCAUAGCAAUGUUGCUGAGAGCUGGGCUUGGAGACAGGCCAAUGACAUAACUGCUGUUUAUGACAGGCAAAUAACAUAACAGACAAAUGACCCUCUGUUUUCUUGUUUGUCACAGCAUAGUGAUAGUGUGACCUUCUGUGGCUGCUGUGAGUAAAUAUGAACUGGAAGGCUGUGUGUAAAUUGCUUAGCUUAGAGCCUGGCAGCUUAGCCAGGAAGAGAGAGAAGAUGAGGAUGAGAGCCAGCUUCUGGUGAGAUACCUGCCCUCAUUCAAGUGCUGGGACAGCUUGGGAAUAUUCAGAGGAAGGUAGCAGGCUGGGGUUUGGCUGGGACAAGGAAGCAGGAGCUGAUGGCAUUUGAUGAUACUCUCUUAGGUGUCUCCUGAUGAUCUUUUCUCCAUCCAGGACCACGUGUCAUGGCUCUUAUUUCCAUCACGUCACCAUGGCCAUCAUCUCUCUCUCACCUUGACUCGUGUUGGGUUGCUUCUGGUGACACUCUUCCUUGUUCUGUUCCUCCAGCAAGCACCUCUCCUGAGUAUCCUGGGGCUUUGGUGAUGUCAUCCCACCAGGUUGCUGCUGCCAGUGGUGAGCCAGGCUCCAGAAAAGGCCCCUCUGACCUGGCUGGUCCAUGGAGGGGUGCAGUUCACAGAAAGAGUGAGCAUUCAGUUAGGACCAUGAGUUGGAACAAGCAGAGGGGCUCUUGUGGUUACAGAGAAGAUGCAGCAGGGAGGCUCUCACAUGCCUCUCCAUUUGUCCCAGAGAAAUGAGUGUAGUUGACUUUGGAUCCUUGGAGUGACAGGUUCCAGGACUGCCUCACCACUGGUUACCUGAGUCAAUACCUGUCCAAUCCUUUGUAUAAAAUGUAGAAUUUGCAUAGAGCCCUCACAGUCUUGCAGCCUACUUUAAAUCAUGUCCAGAUGACUUACAAUGCCUAAUACAAUGUAAAUGCUGUGCAAAUAGUUGCCGCACUGUGUUGUUAGGAAAUAAUGGCAAGGGAAAUCUCCUCUACAUGUUCAGUACAGAUGUAAUUUCCUCCCCCCAAAGAUUUUCUAAUCAAAGUUUGUCGAAUCCACAGAUGUGCAACCCAUGGGCAUGGAGGGCUGGCUGUCCUCUCUAGUUAGGGGCUAUUAUUUCUCUCUCUCUGUAUGUAGGUAUGUAUGUAUAUGUGUAUAUAGCUAUAUACAAAUAAUAAUAUACAUACACACAAAGGUAUGCAUAUACAUAUAUAUUAUAUAUAAUGCAACGAAGAAAUUCUGAGACAUCUAGCCCUACGAGAUGCUGUGGACUUGCUGUCAUUCUUUUAUUCAACAAAUGUUUGUUUCCUUGUUUAUUUAGUGAGUUUGUGGGUGUAGGUGUGUACACUUGCAUGUGGAAGACAGAAAUCAACUUUGGGGAUGUCAUUCUCGGCGUUACCUACCUGGAGCUUUUUCUGAACACUUUUAAAAAUGUAUUAUUAUCAUUUUGCAUAUGUGUGUGGCAUUUGUGUACAUGCAUGCUUUUAUGUGUGACUAUACACGUGUCUGGAGGCUCAAAGUUAAUGCCAAAUGUCUUCCUCAGUUUCUUUCUUCUCUAUUUACUGAGGCAGGACCUCUUCCUGAAGCUGGAACCCAUCAACUCUGGAUAAUAUAUCAGUCUAGCCUACUCCAGGGAGCCCCUCUUUCUGUCAACUAAGUUUUGGGAUUGCAGUUUGCCUCCAUGCCUGCCCAGCAUCUACCUGGUGCUGGAAAUCCCAACCCUGGUCCACAUGCUUGCACAGUAAAUGAUUUAUACACAGAGACAUCCACCCAAUCCACACCUUAUGAGACUGGCUUUGAACUUAUCAAUUAGGCAAGGCUGGCUGGCCAUCAAGCCUCAGGAUGAGAGCCAGCUUCUGAUGAGAUACCUGCCCUACUGUGUGUUUGCAGCCCUGACAGUUUAGUUUGCUUCUGAUGACGAUAUUGUACCCACUGAAUAGAGGAGGAACCCAAGACUCAGAAAACAAAACAUUUCCCUUCUCUACUUCUCGGCUUUAAGCCAGCCUUUCUGUGACUCAGAACCUGCUGAGGACCUCUCUGCUUCCCAGAACAGUCUGGAGCAACGCUUGAGGCAGGAUCAUCCACAUCUGGAACAUACCAAGAGUGUGUCUUGUGACAACUGACUGAUAGAGCCCAGGUCCUCAGGCAGAGGCACACUGUGAGCCACUGUAUGAGCCACCCCCACACAGGUACAGCUUCCAGGAGAGAGACUGCAUUCUGAGUGUGUGUGUGUGGGUGCGUGGGGAGUUAGUGGGGUUCUCAGUCACAAGGUUCAGAGCACCUUCCCUAAUAGUCUUACAGUCAGUACCCAUUCUUAAAGUGCCCCCAUCCCCACCCCUGUUGCCAUAUCUGGGCUUACAGAAUAUUGGUUUCUUAUUUAACACAACACAGAAGUGCUGUUCAAAGAUCUGUUAAGACAGGAAGGCCAGUCCUGAAGCAUAGGCCUGUAAUCCUGGCUAUUUGGGGGGCUGAGGCAGCAGGACCACUAGUUUAAGGCCAGUUUGGAUAACAUGGUGACACCCUGUCUCAAAAUAAAAAGUGAAAAGAGGGCUGGGGUGUAGCUCGAUGGUAGACCCUAGAUUCAAAC